UAGCUAAUUUGCAUCAAUACAUAGACCUCUCUGUUUUCUGAAUUGUAGGAGUGAUUUCUAAACCAUAAAUUUAAUAUAAAUGAUAAUAUAAAGUCGAGUACACGGAUAACUGAGGUGCGUGUGCUGCAGUAGUCGGCCUGCAGGCGGCGCUGCUUCCCGCUGGUUCAUUUAAACAGCAGCGCUUUGUUGGUGCUGUUGCUAGGAGACCAGCGGCCGGGAGCCGUCUAAGUGCCGGAAACAGGUUAAAUUAGCUGUUUUUUGAAACGGGUUAAAUUAUCAGCUUUAGAAACAUUUUCAAUUAACUGAGACCGCUUUAAGAACAGGUUCGAAGUGAAAAUGUGGGACGGAGAGCUGGACGAGCAGAAGCUGAAGGGGGUUUUCUCCUCCCUGGUGGCCGACGGAGGCUGGUUGUUCCUGAAGGGGGAGAACCAGAAGGCCGCGGACAGCUUCACCUCGGCUCUGGCUUUAAAUCAAGAUGAUAAGAACUGCUUCGUUGGUCGAUCCAAAUGUUACCUGAAGAUGGGUCAUUCAGACCAAGCUUUAAAAGAUGCUGAAGCUUCACUGAAAGUAGACGCAACGUUUUUUGAGGGAUUAUACAUGAAGGCAGAGGCGCUGUACCACAUGGCAGAGUUUGAAUUUGCGCUGGUGUUUUACCACAGAGGACUGAAGCUGCGUCCACAAAUCCAGGAGUUCAGGCUGGGAAUCCAGAAAGCUCAGGAGGCCAUGGAGAACUCCAUCGGCAGUCCGUCAUCUGUCAAGCUGAAGAAUAAAGGAGACCUGGCAUUCUUCAGAAAAGAUGAGGAGGUAAAAAGAUCAAAGCCGAUUUCUGCGAUUCAGAAUCUGACGAAGGAGAAGAAACAACAGAGCCAGAAAACCCCGAAGAAGGAGAAAACAACCAGACAGAUGCUGGGAGAGUUUUACAGUGACAGGAAAUAUCUGGAAAGUCUGAUGAAAGAUGAAGACUUGGUAAAAGGUAAAACGAAGGGCGGCGAGCGGCUGGAGGACGUCAUCCAGGGCUGCCUCUCGUAUCUCGACACCUGCACCGAUUUUUGGAAGCAGGAGAGUCCAAUCUGUGACCAAGAGAAGAACCGCAAACCAGCGCAGCAAAAACGCAGCAAACCUCGACACGGUGCGCCUUCUGAGCACGCUCAGUUCCUCCUGAAGAGUCUGGACGAGAUAGAUGCAGAUCUGGAAUGUGGAAAUGCAGAAGGCAGCCUGAAGAAGGCCGAAGAAGUCAUGAAAGUCGUGCAGAGGUGGUCGGACAAAGAGGUUCCGGAUAAAAAAGAGAUUCUUGGUGGCCUGCACAGCUGCAUGGGAAACGCUUGGUUGGACCUGGGAGACGUGGACAAAGCUUUGGAGCAUCAUCACAAGGACCUGGAGCUCUCUAAGCAGUGCAGCAUGCCAGAAGCCUUAUCCAGAGCUUUGGACAACAUCGGUCGAGUUUACGCCCAAACCGGACAGUUCGAACAAGCUGCUGAGUUCUGGCAGAAGAAGAUUCCUUUGGUCUAUGGUGCUUUAGAGAAGACCUGGUUGUUCCAUGGACUCGGCUGUUGCUACCUGAUGCUCGACCGACAUGAUGAAGCUCGAGAGUUCGGCCUCCGAUCAGCCGCAGCCGCUGACGAAGCUGCAGACGAGAAGUGGCAGAUAAAUGCUCAUGUUUUGGUCGCACAAUCAGAAUUGAAGCUCGGAAACUUUGAAUCCAGUGUCUUUUACUUUGAAAGGGCUUUGACUCACGCCAAACUUCAGGAGGACGACUCCGCCAUGGAGGCCAUUCAGAAGGCUCUUGAAGAAGCGAAGCAGCAGCUGCCGCAGUGAGGAUGGCUUUUUAUUCAGAGUGCAGCUCCGGAAAAAGCAGAAAAAGAAAGAUCAACUCCUCGAAAGAGUGAAAGUAGCAGUUCCUCCUUAAGGUCAGAGAUUGCAGCAUCUGAGGGCCUCUUCAAAAGAAGACGUAGUUGAUGAAGGCGUUCUGGAGCAGGACCAGAAAGACCACGACCAAGCAGCCUUGAGAUCUUAGGCAGCGUCUCCCUCAGGUCCCUCUCCCCACACAUCCACCAACCACUGCAACACAUCUCCAAAGUUCUGCCGGGCCAGCUCAGCUUCCCCUCAGAAGAAGUUCCACCAGAUGAAGGAGCCUUUUGAGAGGCAGCUGGCAUCGUGAUUGGACUGUACUUUGGUCUGUUCCAAUCCAGCUUCAGCUCCAGAGACGGCAGGCGGGACGAGUCAACGGAGGCCGGGUGGACGAAGGCAUGCAGCUGAGUACAAUCCAGAAAACAACAGAGGAGGAGUGCAGUGGCCCAGAGCCAGAACAAACAGAGUCGCAUCGUAUGUCUCUUAGAAAACAUCAUAGUAUAGCCUCUGGUAUGAAAAAACGCCAUCAUAUACAUCGUAUAUUGUACAAAUAAGUCAAAGGAAAGAGACAUCAACUGUAGAAUUGUAGUAAUUCUGGGCUGACUGAUUUACUGAUUAUCAGUAUUUUAUUUUUUACUGAUUUAUGGUAAUAAAUCCAUUUAAAAAUGGU